AUUGAACGCUGGCGGCAGGCUUAACACAUGCAAGUCGAGCGGGGAAAGGUAGCUUGCUACCUGACCUAGCGGCGGACGGGUGAGUAAUGCUUAGGAAUCUGCCUAUUAGUGGGGGACAACAUUCCGAAAGGAAUGCUAAUACCGCAUACGCCCUACGGGGGAAAGAAGGGGAUCUUCGGACCUUGCGCUAAUAGAUGAGCCUAAGGCAGAUUAGCUAGGUGGUGGGGUAAAGGCCUACCAAGGCGACGAUCUGUAGCGGGUCUGAGAGGAUGAUCCGCCACACUGGGACUGAGACACGGCCCAGACUCCUACGGGAGGCAGCAGUGGGGAAUAUUGGACAAUGGGCGAAAGCCUGAUCCAGCCAUGCCGCGUGUGUGAAGAAGGCCUUUUGGUUGUAAAGCACUUUGAGCGAGGAGGAGGCUACUUGGAUUAAUACUCUAGGAUAGUGGACGUUACUCGCAGAAUAAGCACCGGCUAACUCUGUGCCAGCCGCCGCAGUAA
rnacentral:rRNA from 1 species